rnacentral:tRNA from 1 species
GAGGGUAUAGCUCAAGUGGUAGAGUGCAUGCUUAGCAUGCAUGAGGUCCUGGGUUCAAUCCCAGUACCGCCU